CAAGGAUGUGUCAGUGCCUAGAGGAGCUGCCUACAAGAAACACCAAAGAGAUGACUAACUGCUACCAACAGGAAGCUGGGCAUUAGCAAAGUCUUCCUUUACACUCUUUAGUUCAGAAGAAAAACUUUGACAAAAGGAAAAGCCUAGACCACUCUCUCAGAUUUGACACCUAAUUCAUGGUAGCAAAAGGAAGCUGGAUGUCUCCUACUAUGGGAGGUUUCUACAUGAGGUGCAGCCCAACACUUGUUAGGCUGUUUUUCCACUGGAAGUGAAAUUACUUUUAUGUAGCUUUAGUUAAAUGUCUGAAUCUGUGUAAAUACCAAUUAAUACAUUUACUUCUGAUUAGGAUAUUUUAUAAUUUGGUUUCCUGAUUUGCAGUGUAACUUAUAUUAUGGAGAUUAAUGAGUUUCCCUGUAAGUCAGUCUCUUAAGGCAAUGACAGUUUGAAGACAUUUUACAUCGUUUUUUCCUAAUAAUUAUAUGACAGAAGAGAGACCAUAAAGAUACAAAUAUGUAAACUGGAAAGGUCAGGUCAGGGGAAUUUUGUAAAAGCAGUAUAGGCGAAAUACAGAGCAUGAGGGAGAAGACCAACUGAUCCCUAAGACUAAAUGUAAAACUAUAGUCCUGGUAACUCAGCAGAGGGAAAUAGAGUAAUACAUUUUCUGAGGCUGAAGUUUGUAAUCCUUGAAGAAUGUUCCAAAGAAGACUGAGAUAUCUGGGUGCACAAGACACAGGCUUAAGAUGACAGCAAUAAAUAUAAAAUAAAUAUGCAGUCUUGGGGCAAACAAGAUAAAUAAAACAAUAUUGCUGGUACGUAUAAUGCCAGCAGACAUAAAGCAGAAGGAAGGGUUACCAAACACAAAGACAGUGAAAAUCCUUAAAAAAACCCAGAACUUGUACUGCAAAUAGAGAAAGCAGUACACAAAAGCAGUUAAUUCAUAAUUGUAUCAGUGAAGAAUGCAUGCUGCUUUAGUUUCUAGAGAAUGAAUGAAUUCGAGUGAAGCAGCAUGUGAACAAGAAAAUUGCAAGCAGGAACAUUUAGGACCCCUUUUUCCAUUACUAUGAUGGAUAAAUAGAUAGCUUUAAAAAUUUAUUUUGUUAAAGCACUGUUAUCCUCAUAGUGUUAGGCUGAAAAGUGUUUAUCAAUUGACAGGAGCAGUUGUUUACUUGGCGGAGAAUUUUUUUACCUGUAGACUGUAUUGAUAUCUCUUCCCUUUUUGUGUAACUAUUCAGUAUUUUAAAAAUGUUUUCUUAGAAACUACAGCAUCUUUUAAAAAUGUCCUUUUUUAAAAAAAUUAUUAAUUUUGUGUUUAUAUUCAAGAAUUUUAUCCCCAUGUUUGCCUGUUUUUUUCCCUUCCUUUUGACUGCAGCCUGGCUAAAGAAAGUCAGCUUCAUCCUCUAAGAGUUGGCCAAGCUAAUUCAAGUUUUAUUUCUCUCCACUAUGGUUUUUGUCUGCUGUAUUUUUCAGUGAGCCAUGCUGACUCCUACUGAUUCCAUUUUUAGUUUCCUAGUCCUUCUCAUGUUUUGAACAGGAAUCUGUGAUGUGUAAUUAAGAGUGUGAAUUCCCAUAUGCUGGAACUGUCUAAAGCUGAGCAUCCCCAAGCAACUAUUCCCUCAGAAAGCAUGACUUUUGCUCUAAAAUAAUAUAGAUAAUUUUGAAAAGUAAUCUUUUAAACUAAAGGGCAACUUCCAAAGGCAAAAUAUACUUUUUGUUUGAUCAGAGAUGUCAGGUAUUUUUUUCCAAAAUUAAUGUAAUAUGUUAGAUUGUGCCUGAAUAAGGCAGAGUAAAAUCUGACUAAAUAUCUCAGGCUAUUUACUGAAAGAAGACUAAAGAGGAUAUUGUUCUUCCCUAAAUAAGGAUGGUGACAUUUCACAGAAAUUGGAAAAUAGUAUUGGAAAAAAGCCCCAAAAGAUGAACAGUGGAAAAGUAUUUAUGAUCAGUUUUAGUCCUAAUAGUACCUUAAGAAAAAAAAAAAAUCAAGGUUCCUGCAUUACCUUGCAAUGUAUUUUAUUCAAUUUGGAGAGAAAUUGGUAGCCCUUAUCUUGUACAAGCAGUGCUUGGUUCUGAAAGCUUCUGUUCAAGUCCAGGCUUACUGGAUCACUAACAGGAUGAGAGGCUUCAGAGGGUGUAUGGAAGAGAGCUGCCUUCUGAGCCUUACAACAAAGGCAGCAGAGCACCCACUGAGCAGCAUAAUGACCUUGUUUCCAGAGGCUGUCUCCAAAGUUUGUAGUGUUAAUCUUUAGCAAUAGUGUCUGUAAAGCUCAUUGCUUAGACAUUUGAAAAUGUCUCCAGACUGCUUGUUGCUUGCUUGAAAAUGACUAAGUAAAAUUAGCUCUUGAAUUGUAUAUUGAAAUUUUAUUAUGUUUUCAGCAAUGGAGUUUAUUUAAAUACUGGAAUUUCUAA